rnacentral:lncRNA from 10 species
CUGUGCAAAGUGUUGUGCAAGCGUUAGUGUUGGAUGAGGGUCAUCUAGCCCUCACCCUAUGCAGAGGCGCUUCCGCUGCGCUGCUUACAAGAAGCAAAAUGAGGAUUGGAGAGCUCCACUCAUCAUCUCAAGGUGACAGAGCUGGUUGUCAAAUCAAAGUCUUCUGAAAUUAAACACAAUAUCCCUAGAGUAGUCUUCUGGAGUGAGAGUGCCUGGGCUCAACGUGUCUUGGAGCUGAGUCUGCAUCUGUGAAACGGGAGCACCAACCUCCUAGCGCCCUCAUCAGGUGUAAGGUAGACAACAGGAGUGCACACAGAACCUGGC